GACGAACGCUGGCGGCGUGCUUAACACAUGCAAGUCGAACGGAAAGGCCCCUUUGGGGGUACUCGAGUGGCGAACGGGUGAGUAACACGUGAGUAACCUGCCCUUGACUUCGGGAUAACUUCAGGAAACUGGGGCUAAUACCGGAUAGGAAUCCUUGCUGCAUGGUGGGGGUUGGAAAGCUUCGGCGGUUUUGGAUGGACUCGCGGCUUAUCAGCUUGUUGGUGGGGUAGUGGCUUACCAAGGCUUUGACGGGUAGCCGGCCUGAGAGGGCGACCGGCCACAUUGGGACUGAGAUACGGCCCAGACUCCUACGGGAGGCAGCAGUGGGGAAUAUUGCACAAUGGGCGGAAGCCUGAUGCAGCAACGCCGCGGGCGGGAUGACGGCCUUCGGGUUGGAAACCGCGUUCAGCAGGGGCGAAGCUUGUGGUGACGGUACCUGCAGAAGAAGCACCGGCUAACUACGUG
rnacentral:rRNA from 1 species